rnacentral:rRNA from 1 species
AGUCGAACGAUGAAGCCCUUCGGGGUGGAUUAGUGGCGAACGGGUGAGUAACACGUGGGCAAUCUGCCCUUCACUCUGGGACAAGCCCUGGAAACGGGGUCUAAUACCGGAUAACACUCUGUCCCGCAUGGGACGGGGUUGAAAGCUCCGGCGGUGAAGGAUGAGCCCGCGGCCUAUCAGCUUGUUGGUGGGGUGAUGGCCUACCAAGGCGACGACGGGUAGCCGGCCUGAGAGGGCGACCGGCCACACUGGGACUGAGACACGGCCCAGACUCCUACGGGAGGCAGCAGUGGGGAAUAUUGCACAAUGGGCGAAAGCCUGAUGCAGCGACGCCGCGUGAGGGAUGACGGCCUUCGGGUUGUAAACCUCUUUCAGCAGGGAAGAAGCGAGAGUGACGGUACCUGCAGAAGAAGCGCCGGCUAACUACGUGCCAGCAGCCGCGGUAAUACGUAGGGCGCAAGCGUUGUCCGGAAUUAUUGGGCGUAAAGAGCUCGUAGGCGGCUUGUCACGUCGGAUGUGAAAGCCCGGGGCUUAACCCCGGGUCUGCAUUCGAUACGGGCAGGCUAGAGUGUGGUAGGGGAGAUCGGAAUUCCUGGUGUAGCGGUGAAAUGCGCAGAUAUCAGGAGGAACACCGGUGGCGAAGGCGGAUCUCUGGGCCAUUACUGACGCUGAGGAGCGAAAGCGUGGGGAGCGAACAGGAUUAGAUACCCUGGUAGUCCACGCCGUAAACGUUGGGAACUAGGUGUUGGCGACAUUCCACGUCGUCGGUGCCGCAGCUAACGCAUUAAGUUCCCCGCCUGGGGAGUACGGCCGCAAGGCUAAACUCAAAGGAAUUGACGGG